CCUACGGGGCGCAGCAGUCGAGAAUCAUUCACAAUGGGGGAAACCCUGAUGGUGCGACGCCGCGUGGGGGAAUGAAGGUCUUCGGAUUGUAAACCCCUGUCAUGUGGGAGCAAAUUAAAAAGAUAGUACCCCAAGAGGAAGCGACGGCUAACUCUGUGCCAGCAGCCGCGGUAAUACAGAGGUCUCAAGCGUUGUUCGGAAUCACUGGGCGUAAAGCGUGCGUAGGCUGUUUCGUAAGUCGUGUGUGAAAGGCGCGGGCUCAACCCGCGGACGGCACAUGAUACUGCGAGACUAGAGUAAUGGAGGGGGAACCGGAAUGCUCGGUGUAGCAGUGAAAUGCGUAGAUAUCGAGAGGAACACUCGUGGCGAAGGCGGGUUCCUGGACAUUAACUGACGCUGAGGCACGAAGGCCAGGGGAGCGAAAGGGAUUAGAUACCCUAGUAGUC
rnacentral:rRNA from 1 species